rnacentral:misc_RNA from 1 species
AAGUCGUAACAAGGUUUCCGUAGGUGAACCUGCGGAAGGAUCAUUAACACGUAUCCAACGUUAAAACAACCGUGAACUUUCAGCUUGCUCCUGUAGCCCGUGAAAACAGCAAUCCCUGGUAAAUCAUUGUUGACCAGCUUUUGAGUCAGGGACCUCUGCCGAUUGUGAUAUUUUAUAGCUACGGUUGAGCGAUUGCAUCUAGUGAUGUUCGGUUUUUGGUGCCGUGCGAAUUUCACGCGCGGCCAAUUCGUACUGUGUUAUCAAUGACACUUUCAGACACUGAUUACUUGGGUAUGCCAGGUCAAUGGAUAUCUUGGUUCUC